UUCUUCCAGAAGAAAAAGAAAAUUUAGCAGCUUUAUUAGGUUUAAAUGCAGAAAUUUUGCUGGAGAAUAGCUGAGGUUACCUCUGUGAGUAGAGGACAGUUUCAACCUUCUCUACUGGUUCCAUCACAGGGCACUGAUAAUUCCCUCAGCCAAUCUGGUGGCACAUCAAUGAAAAUCUAUUAAGGAAAGGGUGUAAAACAUGAUGCAGCAGCUGUGCGAGAAAAGAGUGGGAAGAAAAUCUGUUUAGGUUUUUUCUGGACUACUGCUGCAAUCAGAGUAACAAAAUGGAAUAAAUGAGACAUCUCUGAACCAGAGGAAGGUUUCAUCUUAGAAUGAAACAGGUGCUUGUAUUCACAUUAAAAAAGAAAAAAAAAAAAAGGGGAGAAAAAAAAAAUUUGUUUGUUUGUGUUGGCCCAGAAGCUGAGGUCAUGGAAAAGUAUUAAACUGUAGACUUAGAGACAUCAGAUCUGAAGAGAAUAGACUACUCCUGUCAAAGACAUCUUUGGUUAUAUCUGCAGAGAUAAAAGGCAAGCGACUAAUCAUCACAGUUCAUUGUCUGAGUUCAUUUUUCUUUUUAACUAUUAGAAGAUGAGCUGCACAGCACAAAAAUAAUAUCAGAGAUGAAGGUCAGUUGGAAUAUUAUUGCACAAACAUUUACAAAGAAAACAGCUCCAAUGUGCUUUAAAAAAAAAAAAAAGUAAAAAUCAA